rnacentral:tRNA from 1 species
GCCCCAGUAGCUCAACAGGACAGAGCAAGGCACUCCUAACGCCUAGGUUGAGCGUUCGAGUCGCUCCUGGGGCA